UCUUCGUGUCUUGUUCAGUCUGCCUGUCAGAUUAACAACAACUUUCCCAGCUCUGUGAUCAUCAAUGACCUCAAAUUCACCAAUGUAACCAUGCUUCAUCAUCACAGUUAAAAACCGCAUGAUUACUUUAGAGCACGGUCUAAUGAGAACUUGACGUUUUCCACUUCUCUGCAUUGUUGAUGCUCUUAAGGGCAUCAGCCAGAAUAUUCAUGCGCACCAUGAUGCCGGUGCCGCAAGAUGGCAGAAAAUUCCACGAU